AUCCAAGCCGAUAUGCAACAUAAGGUUUCAAGAGACGGCUUGCUGAGAACGCCACGUGAGACGUAAUCGUACGGAUCGUCGAGGACAAACGUGGUCUAGCCGCCGUUAACAUCCGUCGUUGCUCCAUCUGCGACUCAUCGGAAAAAAGUGAAAUCAACUCUUACGGAUCAUCAUGUUGCAGAGGAGAUCAUCAUCAUCAUCCGCUUUUCACUUCUGAUCAAUGACUACUAAUUGGAUCAUCGGAAUUCACACAGAGUCUCUGUAUAAAGAGAUUCUCUCAAGAAGAAAAUUAAAGAAGAAGAAGAAGAUGCGUGAAUGUGAAUCAGAGAGUUUUGAUUUUUUCUCUCAACGAAGAAUUAGAAGAGGCUGCGUGUAUGAGUCUUUAUUUAUAAGCAAAGUGUUAAUUAGGUCUUCAUCAAUAAUGAUAACCGUUUGUUCAAUAUAGCCGUUGGAGUCGGUUAAUGACUUUGACAUAAGCAGAUAUUUGUCUUGAUCUUAAUUUCCUUUUCUUUGGAUGGGCUUUUGUACAGAGAUUCCUUUUUUAAUCAAUCGAAUUCUUCCCAUCAACAUAGUGACAUGAUGGAGAUAUUUAAUCUCUGCUUACUCCCAAACACAUUUUGGUUACCCUCAAACUCUAUCGUUGCUUCUGAUUCCAGUAGCUGAUGGUCUACUACAACGUUUUUGGUUUUUGUGUGUUUGAUGAUUAUAAGAGAAGAAGCAAAACAGGAAUAGACUUUUGGUGAUUACUAAUUAAUGCAGUGCAAGGGAGACAAGAGUCUACUUGGUGGUUAUGUCUCUUGUUAGAGAGCCGGUCUUGUUUAGAGAUUUUGGUUCUGUUGUU